GACAGAGGGUGCAAACGUUGUUCGGAAUUACUGGGCGUAAAGCGUGCGCAGGCGGUCUCUUAAGACAGGUGUGAAAUCCCCGGGCUUAACCUGGGAACUGCGCUUGUAACUGAGAGGCUUGAGUGUGCCAGAGGGGGGUGGAAUUCCACGUGGUAGCAGUGAAAUGCGUAGAGAUGUGGAGGAACACCGAUGGCGAAGGCAGCCCCCUGGGGUAACACUGAC
rnacentral:rRNA from 1 species